UACGUAGGGUGCGAGCGUUAAUCGGAAUUACUGGGCGUAAAGCGUGCGCAGGCGGUUUUGUAAGCCAGAUGUGAAAGCCCCGGGCUUAACCUGGGAAUGGCAUUUGGGACUGCAAGGCUGGAGUGUGGCAGAGGAGACUGGAAUUCCUGGUGUAGCAGUGAAAUGCGUAGAUAUCCGGAAGAACACCGAUGGCGAAGGCGAGUCUCUGGACAUUUCCUGACGCUGAGGCACGAAAGCCAGGGGAGCAAACGGG
rnacentral:rRNA from 1 species